CUUCUCUUUCACAGAAAACAGUAUGUGAUAUUUUUCUCUAUUCUCUUUGUGUAUGUGAAACCUUUGGGACUCUCACUGCUGUCACCUGUAGGACAAACAUUCCCCAAAUUCUUUUUCCUGAGUGUUCAUUCUGCUGCUGAGUAAAUACCUUUCUUGAUUCCCCACUUUAUAUGGAAUAUGCAUCCCUUCCAAGGCACCUCACUGCAAAUCAGCUGUAAUGGAAGCCCUCAUCCCAGGUUUUAUUGGGAGGAUAAACACUCCAGCAGUUCCCUUCUAAAGUGUUUACCUGGCUUUUUCACAGCUGACUCGGUGAAUCAGAGCCUUUUAAGACAGUCUGCCUGGCAUUUUGUCACUAAUCUCUGCAAAGCUUUUCUAAUUCUCAUGUGGUUAAUAGUAUAGGAUGCUAUUCAUUGCGGAAAAAGUAAAACAUUUUUUCUGACUUGCUGUCUAAUUUAGAUAUUAAAUUGCUAAAUCAAAUUUCUUUCUGGGUUUAGUCUCAAAGGCUAAUAGAGCCAGUAUUGAACUGCAAGAAGUUGAUGGACAAAGAAAAUACCACUUAACUCCUUCUCCUUGCCUUUAUGUGAAAACCAAACCAAAAUAUUUUAAUUUGCAGAGAUUCAACAAUGUCAUUAAAUUGCUGAAAAACCAUUUCCCUCCAACAGGUUAUUGUCAUAUUGCUGAGACCAAAAGGCAUCAAGUCCUCUGGGGUCUUGUUGCCUCUUCUAAAACAGUAUAAGCCAUUCUAAGACACAUGCUCAGCUAGCAAUUGGGUGAGAUGAUGGCUGAUUGGAAUUGCAUACAUGAGGCCAAACCUCACAAAUAACAGAAGUGCAGACGUUGUGUUGCUUUAGACUACAUUGUCACCUGCUUCUUCAGGAACCUCGCUAAAGAAGACAAUAAGACCCUCACAGGUAGCGACAUUUCACAGGAUGGACAGAGAUCAUUCCACUUCAUGCAGCAGAACCCAGAAGUUCUACAGCAGGUGGUGAGCUGCCGGGGGGUUUGUGUGUUUGUGCUGUGCCAGAUGGGUCUGGCUGUGCCUCCCACCACUCUGGGCUGGACUCUGACACCUGUCCUGAGGGGGAAGCUGGGGCUGGCCUCUAUGGCACAUCGCAAGGAGCCCUUUACUGGACGCUGGGGAAGAAGGACAUUUCUGAGUCACGUGAGCUGGGAAAGCUUCUGGUGGCAGUCAUUUCACUGCUGA
rnacentral:lncRNA from 1 species